GACAGUCAAAUACAUUUCCACAUACUUUUUUCCCCAUCAAAUUAUACAGUAAUUCUAAAGCAUAACAUAAGCCUAAACACAAAGUAGCAAUGCAGUUUGGUUCCCUUAGUUCCCAUUUGGUAUGGAUUGUACACACGAGUACACACUAUUAGAGAAAACAUAGUAGUACGUAAGUGAAAUGAAAAAAACAAGAAGGAGAGAAAGUUAAGUAAAGUAUAGAAUAUGAUAUGGCCGAUGUGUUAUUUUAGAAUUUAUCAACUCCAAGAGACCAACAUGAUGUUCAUCACUUGACCUGUUAGCACCUGAAGGUCAGUUAGUGGGCCAUUGGUCCAAUUUGGGGCGUAGGAACACACACAUAUUUCUCCUUGAUCUUCUGCCAUCCCCACCAAUGUUUGUCAUAAUCCCUGUCUCUUCCCUUCAGCCUAUAUGCCAUUUUUUCAUAUUAAGAAGACCCUGUCAAGCACUUCUCGGACGCUAGGAGAACACGUCCUCUUCCAGUUAAAGGCCACACUUAAAGAAUAUUGAUUUUUACUGUUCUAUCUGGUAAUUCCUUCAUAUCACGAAAUAUGUGUAAUGGAUAGAUUUCUGGUUUCAAAGGCAAGUUGUUAUUAUUAUUAUUAUUACUGGUAUUUAUAUAGCGCCAUCAUAUUCUGUAGCGCUUUACAAAAUUAUCAAAGUUGAGGCUAAAUUUUGUGGAUAUCAUCUCUCUUAAUUGCUUGGGCAGGACCAGAACACAUACUCAAUAGAGCCUUGUAACGGAGCUUCCUGUACCCCGAUUGGGUACCUCCGCCGACGAAUGCUCCUAGUGCUCACCGAGGACUCCAAGCACUCCACCAGACACCAUCAGCACUGCAGUUCCCACGUCCAGCGUUACAGCUUGGCUAGGAAUUCACAGUCCUCCACCCACCCUUGACCCAAGACCAGUAUGUGAACCUCUUCUACUCCAGAGAGCAUAGCACAAAACAGCUCUUAAAAGAGCUAAUGAUUAGAACCCAGGGGAGUAUGAAGAGUAUAGCAAUCCCAAGUGUGAAUAUAGCAGUUCCCCUCCAAUCACGAGACAAGGCUACCUGUUGAGGGUUAAACAGGAACUCAAUUUUAAUGGAGGCACACUGGCCUUUUAUGCAAGUUUCCCAACAAAGGUGACACCCAGGUGGACCUUGUUGGGCACAGGGACACAAAGUUAACAAACCAAUAAAAACAGAGUUAUACAAUGAGACACACCCCAUACACAAACAAUAGAAUCCAUCCUCUGUGCUUGGGAGAUUAUUCAAUCAGGAACUGUACUAAUCUAAUCCAAUUAUCUCCAAGCACAGAAAAACAUACAAUUUUAUGAAACCCCAAAAAGUACCUUAAAAACACAUAAAAUCCCAUACAUUCCCUGAUAGCCCCGAUCUGGGUGAAAAACAUAUCUAAAAAUCCCCUAGAUCAGUUCAGGGGUUCCUGGAAGUCGUAGUUUUGACCGACCGUGCACAUGGUCCUAUGCCCAAAACAAUUCCAGGGAAAUCAGUGCUAACAGUCGGUCAAGUUCAGUAGUCUUUUACAGGUGUCCCUGCAGGGCCCAUAGUCUGUGGGCAGGAGGCUGGCAAGCAGGCCCCUCCAAGUACAAGUGGCGAGGUUACUUUUGCCACAGAGAGGAAUUUAGCAGAGGGUUUAGAGAUGUGUCUUGCAGGGGUUUGUAGAUGAAUAUAGAAGGAGGUUUAGAGAGGAGUUUAGCAGGGGUUGUGGAUAUGAAUCUAGCUGCGGGUUGAUAAAGGAUAUGGACUUAGAGAAGAGUUUAGCAGAAAGGUAUUUAUAUUGUGGGAGGUCUGAGGAGAAAAGCCCUACCCUGUGUCCUGCACUGGUAACACCAUUCCUGCCUUUAAUGGAAGGUUUAAUUUUGGUUAUUCGUUUAGCAAAGCUCUGGUUACAUAGAAACAUAGAAUGUGACGGCAAAUAAGAACCAUUCGGCCCAUCUAGUCUGUCCAAUUAUCUAAAUACUUUCAUUACUCCCUGGCCUUAUCUUAUAGUUAGGAUAGCCUUAUGCCUAUCCCACGCAUGCUUAAACUCUUUUACUGUGUUAACCUCUACCACUUCAGCUGGAAGGCUAUUCCAUGCAUCCACUACCCUCUCAGUAAAGUAAUACUUCCUGAUAUUAUUUUUAAACCUUUGUCCCUCUAAUUUAAGACUAUGUCCUCUUGUUGUGGUAGUUUUUCUUCUUUUAACCCCUUAAGGACUGAGCCAAAUGUACACGUUGUGAACGAAACAAAAUGUAAACAAAACCUGGCAUGUCUGUCCAACCGUAAUUCACCUCUUUCAUAGUAAAUGCACCCACCCUUAUUAUAUAUCAUUUUAUUCAGGGGAAACAGGACUUUCAUU